AGAAAUUGAUUCUUGACAUGUUCCUUUAAACUUGAGCCGCAAUGGGAAAGCAAGCCACCUAAUACAUUACUGUAAAAGAAACUAAAGUUAUAUUUAUGCAAUAAACAAUAUAUCCUCCCUUCCUAAAUCAGAUUCAAUCUUCCAAAUCCAGACAGGCCGCAACUUUUCUACACACAUUCCUGCACUCUAAUCUCAAGACACAAUCAUGAUUAGCGAGAUCCCAAUGUCUUAUUACAUAAAUCAAAUCUUAUUUGAGAGUUGGCAUUUUACUUGAAAUUAAUGAGUGAGAAUGCAAAGAAGCAGAGACAAGAAGCAGAAGAAGCUCCAAAGCAGUUGCUCACAGGCAUUCUGCGCCACUUGCAGGCUCAGCGUGUCUUCUUCUCCCGAAGAAGCCGAAGCCCAACGGAUAAGCUCAGACACUUCAACUUCAUGCUGUUUUUUAAGAUUGUUGUUCUGUUCAAGUUGUAAUAGAAGGCAGCUUCUACUUGUGCCAGUGCUUGAUGUAAAAUCGCUUCUAGCAUGUGCCCCUGCAUAUCCAAAGGCUAUCCGAAGGCAGCUUCUUCCUGUCCAUACAAAGUUAUCAAGAAUUGAUCAACAAAAACGCAUACAAAGAUAUAAGAAUCUUAUCAACAAAAAUGUGUAUGCAUAUGCUGACUCGUACGAUCUCAAGAAUGAUUUUAUGCACUUUAUCUCAGGUGCUGCUGUGGAAGAACAUCAAGAACAUAAAAAUUCAAAUACCCUUCUGCUUUCAGCAGCAAAUCAACAGCAUCUCUCCUGCAAUCUGAUCACCAUAUCAACACUCCUACCGGAUUCCAGCAGC
rnacentral:lncRNA from 1 species